rnacentral:misc_RNA from 1 species
GAUGAAGAACGCAGCAAAAUGCGAUAAGUAAUGUGAAUUGCAGAAUUCAGUGAAUCAUCGAAUCUUUGAACGCACAUUGCGCCCGCUGGUACUCCGGCGGGCAUGCCUGUUCGAGCGUCAUUUCAACCCUCAAGCCCCCGGGUUUGGUGUUGGGGAUCGGCUCUGCCCUUCUGGGCGGUGCCGCCCCCGAAAUACAUUGGCGGUCUCGCUGCAGCCUCCAUUGCGUAGUAGCUAACACCUCGCAACUGGAACGCGGCGCGGCCAUGCCGUAAAACCCCAACUUCUGAAUGUUGACCUCGGAUCAGGUAGGAAUACCCGCUGAACUUAAGCAUAUCAAUAAGCGGAGGA